UGGCAACACAGCCACACAGGCGACCAUUGUGAAGAGUGUCAAGAUGGUUGGUAUGGAAAUACCAUUAAUGCCACUAAUGCCAUACCUAACGACAGCAGCCCGUGCCCAUGCCCCAGCGGACAAUUUGCCUUCAAUCAAUUCGCUAAGACUUGUGUGCUUUCCAGUGACGGUCUAUCUGUGUGAACUGCACCGUGGGCCACGAGGGACGGUAUUGUGAACGAUGUAUGGACGGUUACUUUGGACGGCCAAGGGAACAGGAACAGGAAGGGCGAUGUCGAAGUGUAACUGUAUCAACAACACAGAUCCUGCAGCCGCCGGUAACUGUAACAUCACAACAGGCGAAUGCCUUAAGUGCCUUUAAAAUACCACAGGGUCCAACUAUCAGUGGUGUGCACCAGAAUACCAUGGAAAUGCAUUGAACAAAAAUUGUACACUUAAGUAUGUCUUUUCUGUAGAGACGCUCUCCAAAUGUUG